GGCUGUUUAGCUUAAUGGCAGAGUACUUAGCUGGUAUCUAAGGGAUUCAGGUUCAAGUCUUGUCACCACCU
rnacentral:tRNA from 1 species